GACCUCCCCUGACCCCCGGGCGGGCAGGACCCCGGCAAUUUUGCUUUUGGCUGGUUACCCAGUACUCUAAAGGAUUUCUCCUGCCUGUACCUGACAGCAGUCUGAUUUUCCCCUUUUCCUCUUUCGUCUUCCACAUUCAGAUAUUUAGUGGUGACUUUGUUGGAAGGUAGAAAAAUGAAAAUGAUGCUCAUUGUCUGGAAGCACUAUUGCGCUUCUUCAUUUUUUUUUUUUCUUCUCCAUUUCAAGCUAAGAGAAAGGAGGAAGAGAGGCAGAAAAGGAGUCAAAGAAGGACGGUGGAAAGGAGAGAGGAAGGAAAACGAAGGUUCCAGGAAAGACUCCAACCACCUGAGCAUGUGCAGGGCCUCCAGCUGCUACAUCCUGAAGUGUGAUCCUGUCGCUGUCACAGUUGAAGGAAGACUGUGUCCCAGCAGUGCCUUGACUAAGAGGCCUCUCUCAGAGAUACGAGGGUGGCAUCGGAUGGCGCUCCAGCUACCACAAGAAGCGCUGGCUGCUCCCUCUCCUCCUUCCCAGAACACUGACUUCUCCAGUUCUCCCAGUGGCAUACCAACUUCUACCCUUUCUCUAUCCCAUUUUCAGAUUUCCAGUUCUUACAAAAUUUCUUUGAGGCUCACCCAAGCUUAAAGCUGAUGAACCACAGAACAGGUUGGAACCAGAGCUGUGUCUUAAAAAUAGGAAUCAUUUCUAAAUUAAUUGACUUGAAGUCAAUACUUUCCCACCAUGAAGCCUAUUACAUAAAUGAAUAAAACUAUAGAGUAAUGAAUUAAAGCUAAUUUUGCAUUUUGGACCAUUUGCCAUAUUUGACUCACAAAUUUCACAUUUAAAUAAAGGAAGUUGGGGUUGAAAUAGAAAACCAUUAUAGGGAGAAAAAAGAAAAAAUACUUAAUAGAAAUUUAAUUAUCAACAGUAAGUAUAUUUCUCUUAAAAGGAAAAUAAAUUACUUUUGACAAGAGUGUUCAAACAAGUGACUUAUGACAAUACUAGUUAUGCAUUAAAAUAUGAGUGGGUUUUUUUUUUUUUUUUGGCUCAGACAAUUAGUCAUUUGCCUUGAAAAACUUGGGGUUUUUUUUUCCAG
rnacentral:lncRNA from 9 species